ACCGCUUCUCAACUUUUUGGCUAAGAUCAAGUGUAGUAUCUGUCCUUAUAAGUCUACCUUGACUCAACAGCUUAUGUGCCUUGGGCACCCCCUGAAGUCAGCGUUUGGGCAUCUGUGACUUGUGCCCUGACAUUUCAUCUUAAGCUCACUGCUGCUAUUGGGUAUAGGGCUACUACCUUGGUAAAAAGAGUUCUG